GAUGAAGAACGUAGCGAAAUGCGGUACUUGGUGUGAAUUGCAGAAUCCCGUGAACCAUCGAGUCUUUGAACGCAAGUUGCGCCCGAAGCCAUCAGGUUGAGGGCACGUCUGCCUGGGCGUCACAUAUCGUUGCCCAAUGCCUAUUGCAGUGCAAUAGGAAUUUCUAGGGUGAAUGAUGGCUUCCCGUGAGCGUUGUUGCCUCGCGGUUGGUUGAAAAUCGAGUCCUUGGUAGGGUGUGCCAUGGUAGAUGGUGGUCGAGUUAGAACGAUACCGAUCAUGUGCAUGCUCCCCAAAAUAUGGCCUCUAUGACCCACACGCGUCUUUUGACGCUCAUGACGAGACCUCAGGUCAGGCGGGGCUACCCGCUGAAUUUAAGCAUAUCAAUAAGCGGAGGA
rnacentral:misc_RNA from 1 species